rnacentral:rRNA from 1 species
AUUGAACGCUGGCGGCAUGCCUUACACAUGCAAGUCGAACGGUAACGGGCCUUCGGGCGCCGACGAGUGGCGAACGGGUGAGUAAUGCAUCGGAACGUACCUUUCAGUGGGGGAUAACGUAGCGAAAGUUACGCUAAUACCGCAUAUUCUGUGAGCAGGAAAGCAGGGGAUCGCAAGACCUUGCGCUGAUUGAGCGGCCGAUGUCAGAUUAGCUAGUUGGUGAGGUAAAGGCUCACCAAGGCGACGAUCUGUAGCGGGUCUGAGAGGAUGAGCCGCCACACUGGAACUGAGACACGGUCCAGACUCCUACGGGAGGCAGCAGUGGGGAAUUUUGGACAAUGGGGGCAACCCUGAUCCAGCCAUGCCGCGUGAGUGAAGAAGGCCUUCGGGUUGUAAAGCUCUUUCGGCCGGGAAGAAAUCGUAUGGGCUAAUACCCUGUGCGGAUGACGGUACCGGCAUAAGAAGCACCGGCUAACUACNUGCCAGCAGCCGCGGUAAAAC